rnacentral:rRNA from 1 species
AUUGAACGCUGGCGGCAGGCCUAACACAUGCAAGUCGAACGAGUGGCGGACGGGUGAGUAAUGUCUGGGAAACUGCCUGAUGGAGGGGGAUAACUACUGGAAACGGUAGCUAAUACCGCAUACCAUCGGAUGUGCCCAGAUGGGAUUAGCUAGUAGGUGGGGUAACGGCGCACCUAGGCGACGCGCCCUCGCUGGUCUGAGAGGAUGACCAGCCACAAGGGAACGGAGACAGGGACCAGACUCAUACGGGAGGCAGCAGUGGGGAAUAUGGCACAAUGGGCGGAAGCCUGAUGCAGCCAUGCCGCGUGUAUGAAGAAGGCCUUCGGGUUGGAAAGUAGUUUCAGCGGGGAGGCGUUACCCGCAGAAGAAGCACCGGCUAACUCCGUGCCAGCAGCCGCGGUAAUAC